rnacentral:rRNA from 1 species
AGAGUUUGAUCCUGGCUCAGAUUGAACGCUGGCGGCAGGCCUAACACAUGCAAGUCGAGCGGUAGCACAGAGAGCUUGCUCUCGGGUGACGAGCGGCGGACGGGUGAGUAAUGUCUGGGAAACUGCCUGAUGGAGGGGGAUAACUACUGGAAACGGUAGCUAAUACCGCAUAAUGUCGCAAGACCAAAGUGGGGGACCUUCGGGCCUCAUGCCAUCAGAUGUGCCCAGAUGGGAUUAGCUAGUAGGUGGGGUAACGGCUCACCUAGGCGACGAUCCCUAGCUGGUCUGAGAGGAUGACCAGCCACACUGGAACUGAGACACGGUCCAGACUCCUACGGGAGGCAGCAGUGGGGAAUAUUGCACAAUGGGCGCAAGCCUGAUGCAGCCAUGCCGCGUGUGUGAAGAAGGCCUUCGGGUUGUAAAGCACUUUCAGCGGGGAGGAAGGCGUUAAGGUUAAUAACCUUGGCGAUUGACGUUACCCGCAGAAGAAGCACCGGCUAACUCCGUGCCAGCAGCCGCGGUAAUACGGAGGGUGCAAGCGUUAAUCGGAAUUACUGGGCGUAAAGCGCACGCAGGCGGUCUGUCAAGUCGGAUGUGAAAUCCCCGGGCUCAACCUGGGAACUGCAUUCGAAACUGGCAGGCUAGAGUCUUGUAGAGGGGGGUAGAAUUCCAGGUGUAGCGGUGAAAUGCGUAGAGAUCUGGAGGAAUACCGGUGGCGAAGGCGGCCCCCUGGACAAAGACUGACGCUCAGGUGCGAAAGCGUGGGGAGCAAACAGGAUUAGAUACCCUGGUAGUCCACGCCGUAAACGAUGUCGAUUUGGAGGUUGUGCCCUUGAGGCGUGGCUUCCGGAGCUAACGCGUUAAAUCGACCGCCUGGGGAGUACGGCCGCAAGGUUAAAACUCAAAUGAAUUGACGGGGGCCCGCACAAGCGGUGGAGCAUGUGGUUUAAUUCGAUGCAACGCGAAGAACCUUACCUGGUCUUGACAUCCACAGAACUUUCCAGAGAUGGAUUGGUGCCUUCGGGAACUGUGAGACAGGUGCUGCAUGGCUGUCGUCAGCUCGUGUUGUGAAAUGUUGGGUUAAGUCCCGCAACGAGCGCAACCCUUAUCCUUUGUUGCCAGCGGUUCGGCCGGGAACUCAAAGGAGACUGCCAGUGAUAAACUGGAGGAAGGUGGGGAUGACGUCAAGUCAUCAUGGCCCUUACGACCAGGGCUACACACGUGCUACAAUGGCAUAUACAAAGAGAAGCGACCUCGCGAGAGCAAGCGGACCUCAUAAAGUAUGUCGUAGUCCGGAUUGGAGUCUGCAACUCGACUCCAUGAAGUCGGAAUCGCUAGUAAUCGUAGAUCAGAAUGCUACGGUGAAUACGUUCCCGGGCCUUGUACACACCGCCCGUCACACCAUGGGAGUGGGUUGCA